rnacentral:rRNA from 1 species
UACGUAGGGGGCUAGCGUUGUCCGGAAUUAUUGGGCGUAAAGAGCGUGUAGGCGGUCCGGUAAGUCGGCUGUGAAAGUCCAGGGCUCAACCCUGGGAUGCCGGUCGAUACUGCCGGACUAGAGUUCGGAAGAGGCGAGUGGAAUUCCCGGUGUAGCGGUGAAAUGCGCAGAUAUCAGGAAGAACACCCGUGGCGAAAGCGGCUCUCUGGAACGGUACUGACGCUGAGACGCGAAAGCGUGGGGAGCGAACAGG